AAAAAAAAAGGUGUACCUUGAGAGCAAGUGACGAAUGGAGAAAAAGUAGAAUGGCCAAAAGGGUUAUUGUUGUUGUUGCAAGAGUAGAAUUCUGCAAGAGAAAAUGGGGAAAUUGAAGUUUGUGUGUUAGAAAAAAGAAGUGAAAUUAGAUAGAGAUACCUUCAUAUCAUAUGAUUUGUUGAUGAUGUGUGUUGUGGGAGGUGCAAGCAAAGGGGAGAGAAGAGAAAAUGUUAAUGUGAAUGUGUUAUGGAAGGUAAGGUAGUAAUGAGACAAUAAUGAAAUGUGCAGUUAUCAUAAAGAAAUUGGAUGAAUGGGAAAUUUGAAUUUGUUGAGUACAAGUGUGAAACAUAUGAACAAGACGUGUGAGCAGACGUGAAACUAUUGCUGUUUUAAGGUGGACCGGGUUUUGUCAACAUAAAAAAAAAUAAAAAAUUGACCCGGUAUUAGGAA
rnacentral:lncRNA from 1 species